rnacentral:rRNA from 1 species
GAUGAACGCUGGCGGCGUGCCUGAUACAUGCAAGUCGAGCGAACAGACGAGGAGCUUGCUCCUCUGACGUUAGCGGCGGACGGGUGAGUAACACGUGGAUAACCUACCUAUAAGACUGGGAUAACUUCGGGAAACCGGAGCUAAUACCGGAUAAUAUAUUGAACCGCAUGGUUCAAUAGUGAAAGACGGUUUUGCUGUCACUUAUAGAUGGAUCCGUGCCGCAUUAGCUAGUUGGUAAGGUAACGGCUUACCAAGGCAACGAUGCGUAGCCGACCUGAGAGGGUGAUCGGCCACACUGGAACUGAGACACGGUCCAGACUCCUACGGGAGGCAGCAGUAGGGAAUCUUCCGCAAUGGGCGAAAGCCUGACGGAGCAACGCCGCGUGAGUGAUGAAGGUCUUCGGAUCGUAAAACUCUGUUAUUAGGGAAGAACAAAUGUGUAAGUAACUAUGCACGUCUUGACGGUACCUAAUCAGAAAGCCACGGCUAACUACGUG